rnacentral:rRNA from 1 species
GGUAUGCUUCUUCGGAAGCAGAGACCGGCGCACGGGUGCGUAACGCGUAUGCAAUCUACCUUUUACAGAGGGAUAGCCCAGAGAAAUUUGGAUUAAUACCUCAUAGCAUAGCAGUCUCGCAUGAGAUCACUAUUAAAGUCACAACGGUAAAAGAUGAGCAUGCGUCCCAUUAGCUAGUUGGUAAGGUAACGGCUUACCAAGGCUACGAUGGGUAGGGGUCCUGAGAGGGAGAUCCCCCACACUGGUACUGAGACACGGACCAGACUCCUACGGGAGGCAGCAGUGAGGAAUAUUGGACAAUGGGCGCAAGCCUGAUCCAGCCAUGCCGCGUGCAGGAUGACGGUCCUAUGGAUUGUAAACUGCUUUUAUACGAGAAGAAACACUGCUUCGUGAAGCAGCUUGACGGUAUCGUAAGAAUAAGGAUCGGCUAACUCCGUGCCAGCAGCCGCGGUAAUACGGAGGAUCCAAGCGUUAUCCGGAAUCAUUGGGUUUAAAGGGUCCGUAGGCGGUUUAAUAAGUCAGUGGUGAAAGCCCAUCGCUCAACGGUGGAACGGCCAUUGAUACUGUUAAACUUGAAUUAUUUAGGAAGUAACUAGAAUAUGUAGUGUAGCGGUGAAAUGCUUAGAGAUUACAUGGAAUACCAAUUGCGAAGGCAGGUUACUACUAAUGGAUUGACGCUGAUGGACGAAAGCGUGGGUAGCGAACAGGAUUAGAUACCCUGGUAGUCCACGCCGUAAACGAUGGAUACUAGCUGUUGGAAGCAAUUUCAGUGGCUAAGCGAAAGUGAUAAGUAUCCCACCUGGGGAGUACGUUCGCAAGAAUGAAACUCAAAGGAAUUGACGGGGGCCCGCACAAGCGGUGGAGCAUGUGGUUUAAUUCGAUGAUACGCGAGGAACCUUACCAAGGCUUAAAUGUAGAUUGACCGGUUUGGAAACAGAUCUUUCGCAAGACAAUUUACAAGGUGCUGCAUGGUUGUCGUCAGCUCGUGCCGUGAGGUGUCAGGUUAAGUCCUAUAACGAGCGCAACCCCUGUUGUUAGUUGCCAGCGAGUCAUGUCGGGAACUCUAACAAGACUGCCAGUGCAAACUGUGAGGAAGGUGGGGAUGACGUCAAAUCAUCACGGCCCUUACGCCUUGGGC